GCUGACGAGUGGCGGACGGGUGAGUAAUGUCUGGGAAACUGCCUGAUGGAGGGGGAUAACUACUGGAAACGGUGGCUAAUACCGCAUAACGUCGCAAGACCAAAGAGGGGGACCUUCGGGCCUCUUGCCAUCAGAUGUGCCCAGAUGGGAUUAGCUAGUUGGUGAGGUAACGGCUCACCAAGGCGACGAUCCCUAGCUGGUCUGAGAGGAUGACCAGCCACACUGGAACUGAGACACGGUCCAGACUCCUACGGGAGGCAGCAGUGGGGAAUAUUGCACAAUGGGCGCAAGCCUGAUGCAGCCAUGCCGCGUGUAUGAAGAAGGCCUUCGGGUUGUAAAGUACUUUCAGCGGGGAGGAAGGUGUUGUGGUUAAUAACCGCAGCAAUUGACGUUACCCGCAGAAGAAGCACCGGCUAACUCCGUGCCAGCAGCCGCGGUAAUACGGAGGGUGCAAGCGUUAAUCGGAAUUACUGGGCGUAAAGCGCACGCAGGCGGUCUGUCAAGUCGGAUGUGAAAUCCCCGGGCUCAACCUGGGAACUGCAUUCGAAACUGGCAGGCUUGAGUCUUGUAGAGGGGGGUAGAAUUCCAGGUGUAGCGGUGAAAUGCGUAGAGAUCUGGAGGAAUACCG
rnacentral:rRNA from 1 species